GUGGUAAACGAAGUGGGAAGGCCCAGACAGCCAGGAUGUUGGCUUAGAAGCAGCCAUCAUUUAAAGAAAGCGUAAUAGCUCACUGGUCGAGUCGUCCUGCGCGGAAGAUGUAACGGGGCUCAAAUCUAUAACCGAAGCUGCGGAUGCCGGUUUACCGGCAUGGUAGGGGAGCGUUCUGUAGGCCGAUGAAGGUGCAUUGUAAAGUGUGCUGGAGGUAUCAGAAGUGCGAAUGUUGACAUGAGUAGCGAUAAAGCGGGUGAAAAGCCCGCUCGCCGAAAGCCCAAGGUUUCCUGCGCAACGUUCAUCGGCGUAGGGUGAGUCGGCCCCUAAGGCGAGGCAGAAAUGCGUAGUCGAUGGGAAACAGGUUAAUAUUCCUGUACUUGAUUCAAAUGCGAUGUGGGGACGGAGAAGGUUAGGUUGGCAAGCUGUUGGAAUAGCUUGUUUAAGCCGGUAGGUGGAAGACUUAGGCAAAUCCGGGUCUUCUUAACACCGAGAAGUGACGACGAGUGUCUACGGACACGAAGCAACCGAUACCACGCUUCCAGGAAAAGCCACUAAGCUUCAGUUUGAAUCGAACCGUACCGCAAACCGACACAGGUGGGCAGGAUGAGAAUUCUAAGGCGCUUGAGAGAACUCAGGAGAAGGAACUCGGCAAAUUGAUACCGUAACUUCGGGAGAAGGUAUGCCCUCUAAGGUUAAGGACUUGCUCCGUAAGCCCCGGAGGGUCGCAGAGAAUAGGUGGCUGCGACUGUUUAUUAAAAACACAGCACUCUGCUAACACGAAAGUGGACGUAUAGGGUGUGACGCCUGCCCGGUGCUGGAAGGUUAAUUGAAGAUGUGAGAGCAUCGGAUCGAAGCCCCAGUAAACGGCGGCCGUAACUAUAACGGUCCUAAGGUAGCGAAAUUCCUUGUCGGGUAAGUUCCGACCCGCACGAAUGGCGUAACGAUGGCCACACUGUCUCCUCCUGAGACUCAGCGAAGUUGAAGUGGUUGUGAAGAUGCAAUCUACCCGCUGCUAGACGGAAAGACCCCGUGAACCUUUACUGUAGCUUUGCAUUGGACUUUGAAGUCACUUGUGUAGGAUAGGUGGGAGGCUUAGAAGCAGAGACGCCAGUCUCUGUGGAGCCGUCCUUGAAAUACCACCCUGGUGUCUUUGAGGUUCUAACCCAGACCCGUCAUCCGGGUCGGGGACCGUGCAUGGUAGGCAGUUUGACUGGGGCGGUCUCCUCCCAAAGCGUAACGGAGGAGUUCGAAGGUUACCUAGGUCCGGUCGGAAAUCGGACUGAUAGUGCAAUGGCAAAAGGUAGCUUAACUGCGAGACCGACAAGUCGAGCAGGUGCGAAAGCAGGACAUAGUGAUCCGGUGGUUCUGUAUGGAAGGGCCAUCGCUCAACGGAUAAAAGGUACUCCGGGGAUAACAGGCUGAUUCCGCCCAAGAGUUCAUAUCGACGGCGGAGUUUGGCACCUCGAUGUCGGCUCAUCACAUCCUGGGGCUGUAGUCGGUCCCAAGGGUAUGGCUGUUCGCCAUUUAAAGUGGUACGUGAGCUGGGUUUAAAACGUCGUGAGACAGUUUGGUCCCUAUCUGCAGUGGGCGUUGGAAGUUUGACGGGGGCUGCUCCUAGUACGAGAGGACCGGAGUGGACGAACCUCUGGUGUACCGGUUGUAACGCCAGUUGCAUAGCCGGGUAGCUAAGUUCGGAAGAGAUAAGCGCUGAAAGCAUCUAAGCGCGAAACUCGCCUGAAGAUGAGACUUCCCUUGCGGUUUAACCGCACUAAAGAGUCGUUCGAGACCAGGACGUUGAUAGGUGGGGUGUGGAAGCGCGGUAACGCGUGAAGCUAACCCAUACUAAUUGCUCGUGAGGCUUGACU
rnacentral:rRNA from 1 species